UACGUAGGGGGCGAGCGUUAUCCGGAAUUAUUGGGCGUAAAGAGCUCGUAGGCGGUUUGUCGCGUCUGCCGUGAAAGUCCGGGGCUCAACUCCGGAUCUGCGGUGGGUACGGGCAGACUAGAGUGAUGUAGGGGAGACUGGAAUUCCUGGUGUAGCGGUGAAAUGCGCAGAUAUCAGGAGGAACACCGAUGGCGAAGGCGGCAUCCUGGACCGAGAUUGACACUGAUGAGCGAAAGCUAGGGGAGCAAACGGG
rnacentral:rRNA from 1 species